rnacentral:rRNA from 1 species
AUACGGGGGAUGCAAGCGUUAUCCGGAAUUAUUGGGCGUAAAGCGUCUGUAGGUUGUUUGAAAAGUCCGGUGUCAAAGACCAGAGCUUAACUCUGGACCGGCAUUGGAAACUCUCAAACUAGAGCACGGUAGAGGUAUGGGGAACUCCUUGUGUAGCGGUGAAAUGCGUAGAUAUAAGGAAGAACACCGGUUGCGAAAGCGCCAUACUGGGCCGUAGCUGACACUCAGAGACGAAAGCUAGGGUAGCAAAAGGGAUUAGAUACCCCUGUAGUCCUAGCUGUAAACGAUGGAUACUAGAUGUUGCGUGUAUUGACCCAUGCAGUAUCGUAGCUAACGCGUUAAGUAUCCCGCCUGGGAAGUACGCUCGCAAGAGUGAAACUCAAAGGAAUUGACGGGGCCCGCACAAGCGGUGGAGCAUGUGGUUUAAUUCGAUGCAACGCGAAGAACCUUACCAGGGCUUGACAUACCACGAACCUUGCUGAAAAGCUUGGGUGCCUUCGGGAACGUGGAUACAGGUGG